CUGACUAUCAGCCACCUCCUGAAAUACACAAAUUGGAUUCCAAAAACAAAACUUCAACUGAGAGCCACAUUUUCUUCAACUAUGAAGGGCCUGGAGUGUCCACCUUCGGCACCACUACAACUCAAGAUAUGCUUGUUCCUCACCAAGGGAGGAAGUAUCAGCUAACAGAAGAAGAACUGCAAAAGAUUAAAUAUUCCCAUUUGGUCCAUCCAUGGAAGGGGAAACGUUGGUUUAGCACCGAACAGAGAGAUGCCUACACAAACAAGUACAGUGGACCAAUCACACUUGCGACGGCAGACUUCCAAGGGAGCAGUGUUCCUCUUGGCACGAUGGUCAAGUAUCAACCCAGAAAGAAGCUUGGUUCUUGAAAAAC